rnacentral:rRNA from 1 species
AGUAACGCGUGGGGAACCUACCCUCGUACAGGGGGAGUAACAGCUGGAAACGGCUGCUAAUACCGCAUAAGCGCACAGAAUCGCAUGAUUCAGUGUGAAAAGCCCUGGUAGUAUAGGAUGGUCCCGCGUCUGAUUAGCUGGUUGGUGAGGUAACGGCUCACCAAGGCGACGAUCAGUAGCCGGCUUGAGAGAGUGAACGGCCACAUUGGGACUGAGACACGGCCCAA